CAAUAGCGUAUAUUUAAGUUGUUGCAGUUAAAAAGCUCGUAGUUGGAUUUCGGAUGAGACCUGCCGGUCCGUCUUUGAGAUGUGCACUGGCAGGUUUUAUCUUGUUGUCGGGGACUAGCUCCUGGGCUUCACUGUCCGGGACUAGGAGCCGACGAAGUUACUUUGAGUAAAUUAGAGUGUUCAAAGCAAGCCUACGCUCUGAAUAUAUUAGCAUGGAAUAACAUGAUAGGACUCUGGCUUAUCUUGUUGGUCUGUGAGACCAGAGUAAUGAUUAAGAGGGACAGUCGGGGGCAUUCGUAUUUCAUUGUCAGAGGUGAAAUUCUUGGAUUUAUGAAAGACGAACUUCUGCGAAAGCAUUUGUCAAGGAUGUUUUCAUUAA
rnacentral:rRNA from 1 species